rnacentral:rRNA from 1 species
GAUUAAGUUAUUAAGGGCGCACGGUGGAUGCCUUGGCACUAGAAGCCGAUGAAGGACGUUACUAACGACGAUAUGCUUUGGGGAGCUGUAAGUAAGCUUUGAUCCAGAGAUUUCCGAAUGGGGAAACCCAGCAUGAGUUAUGUCAUGUUAUCGAUAUGUGAAUACAUAGCAUAUCAGAAGGCACACCCGGAGAACUGAAACAUCUUAGUACCCGGAGGAAGAGAAAGAAAAUUCGAUUCCCUUAGUAGCGGCGAGCGAAACGGGAAGAGCCCAAACCAACAAGCUUGCUUGUUGGGGUUGUAGGACACUCUAUACGGAGUUACAAAGGACGACAUUAGACGAAUCAUCUGGAAAGAUGAAUCAAAGAAGGUAAUAAUCCUGUAGUCGAAAAUGUUGUCUCUCUUGAGUGGAUCCUGAGUACGACGGAGCACGUGAAAUUCCGUCGGAAUCUGGGAGGACCAUCUCCUAAGGCUAAAUACUCUCUAGUGACCGAUAGUGAACCAGUACCGUGAGGGAAAGGUGAAAAGCACCCCGGAAGGGGAGUGAAAUAGAACCUGAAACCGUGUGCUUACAAGUAGUCAGAGCCCGUUAAUGGGUGAUGGCGUGCCUUUUGUAGAAUGAACCGGCGAGUUACGAUUUGAUGCAAGGUUAAGCAGUAAAUGUGGAGCCGUAGCGAAAGCGAGUCUGAAUAGGGCGUUUAGUAUUUGGUCGUAGACCCGAAACCAGGUGAUCUACCCUUGGUCAGGUUGAAGUUCAGGUAACACUGAAUGGAGGACCGAACCGACUUACGUUGAAAAGUGAGCGGAUGAACUGAGGGUAGCGGAGAAAUUCCAAUCGAACCUGGAGAUAGCUGGUUCUCUCCGAAAUAGCUUUAGGGCUAGCCUCAAGUGAUGAUUAUUGGAGGUAGAGCACUGUUUGGACGAGGGGCCCCUCUCGGGUUACCGAAUUCAGACAAACUCCGAAUGCCAAUUAAUUUAACUUGGGAGUCAGAACAUGGGUGAUAAGGUCCGUGUUCGAAAGGGAAACAGCCCAGACCACCAGCUAAGGUCCCAAAAUAUAUGUUAAGUGGAAAAGGAUGUGGCGUUGCCCAGACAACUAGGAUGUUGGCUUAGAAGCAGCCAUCAUUUAAAGAGUGCGUAAUAGCUCACUAGUCGAGUGACACUGCGCCGAAAAUGUACCGGGGCUAAACAUAUUACCGAAGCUGUGGAUUGUCCUUUGGACAAUGGUAGGAGAGCGUUCUAAGGGCGUUGAAGCAUGAUCGUAAGGACAUGUGGAGCGCUUAGAAGUGAGAAUGCCGGUGUGAGUAGCGAAAGACGGGUGAGAAUCCCGUCCACCGAUUGACUAAGGUUUCCAGAGGAAGGCUCGUCCGCUCUGGGUUAGUCGGGUCCUAAGCUGAGGCCGACAGGCGUAGGCGAUGGAUAACAGGUUGAUAUUCCUGUACCACCUAUAAUCGUUUUAAUCGAUGGGGGGACGCAGUAGGAUAGGCGAAGCGUGCGAUUGGAUUGCACGUCUAAGCAGUAAGGCUGAGUAUUAGGCAAAUCCGGUACUCGUUAAGGCUGAGCUGUGAUGGGGAGAAGACAUUGUGUCUUCGAGUCGUUGAUUUCACACUGCCGAGAAAAGCCUCUAGAUAGAAAAUAGGUGCCCGUACCGCAAACCGACACAGGUAGUCAAGAUGAGAAUUCUAAGGUGAGCGAGCGAACUCUCGUUAAGGAACUCGGCAAAAUGACCCCGUAACUUCGGGAGAAGGGGUGCUCUUUAGGGUUAACGCCCAGAAGAGCCGCAGUGAAUAGGCCCAAGCGACUGUUUAUCAAAAACACAGGUCUCUGCUAAACCGUAAGGUGAUGUAUAGGGGCUGACGCCUGCCCGGUGCUGGAAGGUUAAGAGGAGUGGUUAGCUUCUGCGAAGCUACGAAUCGAAGCCCCAGUAAACGGCGGCCGUAACUAUAACGGUCCUAAGGUAGCGAAAUUCCUUGUCGGGUAAGUUCCGACCCGCACGAAAGGCGUAACGAUUUGGGCACUGUCUCAACGAGAGACUCGGUGAAAUCAUAGUACCUGUGAAGAUGCAGGUUACCCGCGACAGGACGGAAAGACCCCGUGGAGCUUUACUGUAGCCUGAUAUUGAAAUUCGGCACAGCUUGUACAGGAUAGGUAGGAGCCUUUGAAACGUGAGCGCUAGCUUACGUGGAGGCGCUGGUGGGAUACUACCCUAGCUGUGUUGGCUUUCUAACCCGCACCACUUAUCGUGGUGGGAGACAGUGUCAGGCGGGCAGUUUGACUGGGGCGGUCGCCUCCUAAAAGGUAACGGAGGCGCUCAAAGGUUCCCUCAGAAUGGUUGGAAAUCAUUCAUAGAGUGUAAAGGCAUAAGGGAGCUUGACUGCGAGACCUACAAGUCGAGCAGGGUCGAAAGACGGACUUAGUGAUCCGGUGGUUCCGCAUGGAAGGGCCAUCGCUCAACGGAUAAAAGCUACCCCGGGGAUAACAGGCUUAUCUCCCCCAAGAGUUCACAUCGACGGGGAGGUUUGGCACCUCGAUGUCGGCUCAUCGCAUCCUGGGGCUGUAGUCGGUCCCAAGGGUUGGGCUGUUCGCCCAUUAAAGCGGUACGCGAGCUGGGUUCAGAACGUCGUGAGACAGUUCGGUCCCUAUCCGUCGUGGGCGUAGGAAAUUUGAGAGGAGCUGUCCUUAGUACGAGAGGACCGGGAUGGACAUACCUCUGGUGUACCAGUUGUCGUGCCAACGGCAUAGCUGGGUAGCUAUGUGUGGACGGGAUAAGUGCUGAAAGCAUCUAAGCAUGAAGCCCCCCUCAAGAUGAGAUUUCCCAACUUCGGUUAUAAGAUCCCUCAAAGAUGAUGAGGUUAAUAGGUUCGAGGUGGAAACAUGGUGACAUGUGGAGCUGACGAAUACUAAUCGAUCGAAGACUUAAUCAA